CGCGGUAAAACCAGCACCUCAAGUGGUCAGGAUGAUUAUUGGGCUUAAAGCAUCCGUAGCCUGCUUUGUUAGUUUUCGGUUAAAUCCAUACGCUCAACGUAUGGGCUGCCGGGAAUACUGCAAAGCUAGGGAGUGGGAGAGGUAGACGGUACUCGGUAGGAAGGGGUAAAAUCCUUUGAUCUAUUGAUGACCACCUGUGGCGAAGGCGGUCUACCAGAACACGUCCGACGGUGAGGGAUGAAAGCUGGGGGAGCAAACCGGAUUAGAUACCCGGGUAGUCCCAGCUGUAAACUAUGCAAACUCGGUGAUGCAUUGGCUUGAUGCCAAUGCAGUGCCGCAGGGAAGCCGUUAAGUUUGCCGCCUGGGAAGUACGUACGCAAGUAUGAAACUUAAAGGAAUUGGCGGGGGAGCACCACAAGGGGUGAAGCCUGCGGUUCAAUUGGAGUCAACGCCAGAAAUCUUACCCGGAGAGACAGCAGAAUGAAGGUCAAGCUGAAGACUUUACCAGACAAGCUGAGAGGUGGUGCAUGGCCGUCGCCAGCUCGUGCCGUGAGAUGUCCUGUUAAGUCAGGUAACGAGCGAGAUCCCUGCCUCUAGUUGCCACCAUUACUCUCAGGAGUAGUGGGGCGAAUUAGCGGGACCGCCGUAGUUAAUACGGAGGAAGGAAGGGGCCACGGCAGGUCAGUAUGCCCCGAAACUCUGGGGCCACACGCGGGCUGCAAUGGUAACGACAAUGUGUUCCGAAUCCGAAAGGAGGAGGUAAUCCAGAAACGUUACCACAGUUAUGACUGAGGGCUGCAACUCGCCCUCACGAAUAUGGAAUCCCUAGUAACUGCGUGUCAUUAUCGCGCGGUGAAUACGUCCCUGCUCCUUGCACACACCGCCCGUCGUUUCAUUGAAGUUUGCUUUUAGCGAGGUGACGUCUAAUGGCGUUAUCGAACUG
rnacentral:rRNA from 1 species